rnacentral:rRNA from 1 species
ACGCUCGACACCUACGGGAAGCAGCAGUAGGGAAUCUUCCACAAUGGGCGCAAGCCUGAUGGAGCAACACCGCGUGAGUGAAGAAGGGUUUCGGCUCGUAAAGCUCUGUUGUUGGAGAAGAACGUGCGUGAGAGUAACUGUUCACGCAGUGACGGUAUCCAACCAGAAAGUCACGGCUAACUACGUGCCAGUAGCCGCGGUAAUCUGAGCGGGCUGGCAAGGC